GACGAACGCUGGCGGCGUGCUUAACACAUGCAAGUCGAACGGAAAGGCCCUGCGUUCGUGGGGUGCUCGAGUGGCGAACGGGUGAGUAACACGUGAGUAACCUGCCCUAGACUUUGGGAUAACUUCAGGAAACUGGGGCUAAUACCGUAUAGGAGCUCCUCCUGCAUGGAGGGGGUUGGAAAUUUUCGGCGGGUGUGGAUGGAUUGGCGGCUUACCAGCUUGUUGGUGGGGUAGUGGAUUACCAAGGGUUUGACGGGUAGCCCGCCUGGGAGGGGGACCGGCGACAAGGGGACUGAGAUACGGCCCAGACGCCUACGGGAGGCAGCAGGGGGGAACAUUGCACAAUGGGCGGAAGCCUGAUGCAGCAACGCCGCGGGCGGGAUGACGGCCUUCGGGUUGUAAACCGCUUUCGCCUGUGACGAAGCGUUAGUGACGGUAAUGAGUAAAGAAGCACCGGCUAACUACGUG
rnacentral:rRNA from 1 species